rnacentral:rRNA from 1 species
AUAUUAACUGUGCAAAGGUAGCAUAAUAAUUAGUUUUUUAAUUGAAAGCUUGUAUGAAUGGUUAGACAAAAAAAUAACUGUCUCUUUAUUGUUUAUGGAAUUUAACUUUUAAGUGAAAAGGCUUAAAUUUUUUAGAGUGACGAUAAGACCCUAUAAAAGUUUAUAUAUAGAUUAAUAUAUCUUAAAUUAUUUAUAUUUAGUUAAUUUAUUGUUAUAUUUUAUUGGGGUGAUAAAAAAAUAAUUAUAUUAACUGUUUUUUUUUUAUACAAUUUUAAAUGAAUAUUAGUGAUCCUAUUUAAAGAUUAAAAGAUAAAGUUACUUUAGGGAUAACAGCGUAAUUUUUUUUGAAAGUUCAUAUUAAUAAAAAAGUUUGCGACCUCGAUGUUGAAUUAAAAUGUCUAUUAGAUGCAGCAGU